rnacentral:rRNA from 1 species
GUGUCAGCAGCCGCGGUAAUACGGAGGGUGCGAGCGUUACUCGGAAUUACUGGGCGUAAAGGGCGCGUAGGCGGCCGUGCAAGUCUGGUGUGAAAGCCCGGGGCUUAACCCUGGAAGUGCACUGGAUACUGUGCGGCUUGAGUGCCGGAGAGGAGGGGGGAAUUCCCGGUGUAGCGGUGGAAUGCGUAGAUAUCGGGAGGAAUACCGGUGGCGAAGGCGCCCCUCUGGACGGUUACUGACGCUGAGGCGCGAAAGCGUGGGGAGCAAACAGGAUUAGAUACCCUGGUAGUCCACAGCCGUAAACGAUGUGCACUAGAUGUAGGGAGGUGUUGACCCUCUCUGUGUCGGAGCUAACGUAUUAAGUGCACCGCCUGGGGAGUACGGCCGCAAGGUUAAAACUCAAAUGAAUUGACGGGG